UCCUGAAUAAAAAGCAAGUAUGU
rnacentral:piRNA from 1 species